GACGGGGGAUGCAAGUGUUAUCCGGAAUCACUGGGCGUAAAGCGUCUGUAGGUGGUCAAAUAAGUCAACUGUUAAAUCUUGAGGCUCAACCUCAAAAUCGCAGUCGAAACUAUUCGACUAGAGUAUAGUAGGGGUAAAGGGAAUUUCCAGUGGAGCGGUGAAAUGCGUAGAGAUUGGAAAGAACACCGAUGGCGAAGGCACUUUACUGGGCUAUUACUAACACUGAGAGGCGAAAGCCAGGGGAGCGAACGGG
rnacentral:rRNA from 1 species